UGCAUAAAAGUCUAAAUCGUCUGCUUUUCAUCUUUGUGAUUCAGAUUAUUAUUUUCGUGUAGUUCCUGUAGUGUUCACGCCCAUUUCUCUUGCUGUGGAGUAACCCCUUCACCAAGUAUCAAAGUUGAUGCUUCUGAUUCCUAAAGAUUCUUUGUUUGUUCGAAUUUGAAUUCUCUGAGUUUGUAUUUCUUUUUCUUAAAAUUUUCUCUGUUUCUCAAUUUGGGUCUCUCUUGAAUUUGCUCUACCUCUAAGAUUUGAUCGCUGCGUUUGGAGGACUUAAUUGUAUUUGGGGGCAGAUGGAUUAGCUGGAAUAUUUGCGGUUGCAGUAUAAAUGAAACAUUCAUCAAGGAAAAGGUAAUGCUCUAAUAUUUUAGUAAUAAUAUGCUCAAAAGUAUAAAACUGAACCACCUAUGCUAUUCUACAUGACGGUUGAUGGCCUUUCAGGCUUUCAUUACUUGGUUUGAACAUAAAAACGUAUAGUUGCUUUAGCUGCAUUUUUAGCAGCUCAUGUUACUUCAGAUGAGUACGCAUACUUCUCACACUUGAAUACGCAUUUCAUAUGUUCUGCUCAUCAAGAGAAGCAGAGCUCUUUCUUUUGCUCUCUAUUCUCAAUUUGAAUUACUGGAAUCGUGCUAUGGCGAAGUUUCAGUAUAUGAUUUUGCUUUUUGUAACCAAUGUAAUAAGAAUUCUGAACAUCCCCCCUCCACACCCUAAAAAAAAGGAAAAUAGAAAUUAGUUUUUGUUCCUUCAAAAAGUAAAAUAUUCUUUACUCUAUUAUUCACGACACAUCACUUUCUUUGUACCAAAACAGGGGAUAAUGAGAAAAAAAGAUAUUUCAUUUUUUUUCUUCAAUAAAGUAAUUUUAGUUUGCAUCA